rnacentral:rRNA from 1 species
UACGUAGGGUCCGAGCGUUGCUCGGAAUCACUGGGCGUAAAGGGUGCGUAGGCGGGUUUUUAAGUCAGAGGUGAAAUCCUGGAGCUCAACUCCAGAACUGCCUUUGAUACUGAGAAUCUUGAGUAUGGGAGAGGUGAGUGGAACUGCGAGUGUAGAGGUGAAAUUCGUAGAUAUUCGCAAGAACACCAGUGGCGAAGGCGGCUCACUGGCCCAUAACGUGACGCUGAGGCACGAAAGCGUGGGGAGCAAACAGG